CCUGGUGACAAUAGCGAAGAGGUCACACCUGUUCCCAUGCCGAACACAGUAGUUAAGCUCUUCAGCGCCGAUGGUAGUUGGGGCCUUGCCCCUGUGAGAGUAGGACGUCGCUAGGC
rnacentral:rRNA from 1 species